AGAAAAAAGCACCGAGAAAGAACUGAUCGAACCCAUCCUGGAUAUUGAAGACCUUGUUAAAAAUGGAAACAAACACAGAGUUUGCCCUUAUUAUCUUUCUCGGAGUCUGAAACAGCAAGCCGACAUCAUUUUUAUGCCUUAUAACUACCUGCUGGACUCAAAGAAUCGAAAAGCUCAUAACCUCGACUUGAAAGGGGCUGUAGUAAUACUUGAUGAAGCUCACAAUGUGG